UACGAGAGGCCCAAACGUUACUCGGAAUUACUGGGCUUAAAGAGUUCGUAGGCGGCAUUGCAAGUAGGGUGUGAAAGCCCUCGGCUCAACCGAGGAAUUGCGCUCUAAACUGCAGUGCUUGAGGAACCUAGAGGUGAGCAGAACAGAUGGUGGAGCGGUGAAAUGCGUUGAUAUCAUCUGGAAUACCGGAGGCGAAGGCGGCUCACUGGGAGUUUUCUGACGCUGAGGAACGAAAGCCAGGGUAGCGAACGGG
rnacentral:rRNA from 1 species